rnacentral:tRNA from 1 species
GCAGACAUAAUUUAAUAAAAAUGCUGGAUUGUGAUUCCAGAAACAGAGGUUCAAACCCUCUUGUCCGCC